AAGUCGUAACAAGGUCUCCGUAGGUGAACCUGCGGAGGGAUCAUUACCGAGCGUAUCGACGGGUCUCCCCGUCGUGCCUCCAACCCUUUGUUGUACCACACCGCGUUGCCUCGGGGGGCGUCUCGCCGCUCGCCGGCGAGCACCCCCGGAGGACCACUCAACUCUGCGUCUUUGCGUCGGAGUAUUGAAUCAUAAAUCAAUCAAAACUUUCAACAACGGAUCUCUUGGUUCUG
rnacentral:misc_RNA from 1 species